AGCUUAUUCAGAGAAGUUGAGGGAAUUGGCCCGACGACACUUCAGCAACCGGUCAUAACAGAUACGGUGCUACUACCAACGAGUAUACUCGCAUAAUAAGGA
rnacentral:ncRNA from 2 species